AUUGAACGCUGGCGGCAGGCCUAACACAUGCAAGUCGAGCGGAUGAAGGGAGCUUGCUCCUGAAUUCAGCGGCGGACGGGUGAGUAAUGCCUAGGAAUCUGCCUGGUAGUGGGGGAUAACGUCCGGAAACGGGCGCUAAUACCGCAUACGUCCUGAGGGAGAAAGUGGGGGAUCUUCGGACCUCACGCUAUAAGAUGAGCCUAGGUCGGAUUAGCUAGUUGGUGGGGUAAAGGCCUACCAAGGCGACGAUCCGUAACUGGUCUGAGAGGAUGAUCAGUCACACUGGAACUGAGACACGGUCCAGACUCCUACGGGAGGCAGCAGUGGGGAAUAUUGGACAAUGGGCGAAAGCCUGAUCCAGCCAUGCCGCGUGUGUGAAGAAGGUCUUCGGAUUGUAAAGCACUUUAAGUUGGGAGGAAGGGCAGUAAGUUAAUACCUUGCUGCUUUGACGUUACCAACAGAAUAAGCACCGGCUAACUUCGUG
rnacentral:rRNA from 1 species